rnacentral:rRNA from 1 species
ACUCCUACGGGAGGCAGCAGUGGGGAAUCUUGCGCAAUGGGCGAAAGCCUGACGCAGCGACGCCGCGUGGAGGAUGAAGGUUUUCGAAUCGUAAACUCCUGUUAAGUGGGAAGAAAUGUUCAUGUCAAAUAAACAUGAAAGAUGACGGUACCAUUAAAGAAAGCACCGGCUAAUCUCGUGCCAGCAGCCGCGGUAAUACGAGAGGUGCUAACGUUAUUCGGAAUUACUGGGCGUAAAGGGUGCGUAGACGGCAUAGUAAGUCAGUUGUUAAAUUUUCCGGCCCAACCGGAAGUCAGCGACAGAAACUGCUGUGCUAGAGGUUAGAAGAGAGAAGUGGAAUUCUCGGAGUAGCGGUAAAAUGCGUAGAUAUCGAGAGGAACACCGAUGGCGAAGGCAGCUUCUUGGUCUAUCCUGACGUUGAGGCACGAAAGCGUGGGGUAGCAAACAGGAUUAGAUACCCUGGUAGGCUCUG